GAACUUAACUCAUUCUUUUAGAUUGAGAGCGGUUAGUGGCGGACUGGUGAGUAACACGUAAGCAACCUGCCUAUCAGAGGGGAAUAACAGUGAGAAAUCAUUGCUAAUACCGCAUAAGCUAGUAGUAUCACAUGAUACAGCUAGAAAAGGAGUAAUCCGCUGAUAGAUGGGCUUGCGCCUGAUUAGCUAGUUGGUGGGGUAACGGCCUACCAAGGCGACGAUCAGUAGCCGAACUGAGAGGUUGAACGGCCACAUUGGGACUGAGAUACGGCCCAGACUCCUACGGGAGGCAGCAGUCGGGAAUAUUGCGCAAUGGAGGAAACUCUGACGCAGUGACGCCGCGUAUAGGAAGAAGGUUUUCGGAUUGUAAACUAUUGUCGUGAGGGAAGAAGAUGACAGUACCUCAGGAGGAAGCUCCGGCUAACUAUGUGCCAGCAGCCGCGGUAAUACAUAGGGAGCAAGCGUUAUCCGGAAUUAUUGGGUGUAAAGGGUGCGUAGACGGGAAAUUAAGUUAGUUGUGAAAUCCCUUGGCUUAACUGAGGAACUGCAACUAAAACUGAUUUUCUUGAGUACUGGAGAGGAAAGUGGAAUUCCUAGUGUAGCGGUGAAAUGCGUAGAUAUUAGGAGGAACACCAGUGGCGAAGGCGACUUUCUG
rnacentral:rRNA from 1 species